GGGUCGAGUGCUGGUGCACAGCGUCGCUUUGCAAGCCUCGCGUGCGGGGUUCGACUCCCCGUCGAUCCACCA
rnacentral:tRNA from 2 species